rnacentral:rRNA from 1 species
AUUGAACGCUGGCGGCAGGCCUAACACAUGCAAGUCGAGCGGGGUUUUCGGACCUAGCGGCGGACGGGUGAGUAAUGCGUAGGAAGCUGCCCGAUAGAGGGGGAUACCAGUUGGAAACGACUGUUAAUACCGCAUAAUGUCUACGGACCAAAGUGUGGGACCUUCGGGCCACAUGCUAUCGGAUGCGCCUACGUGGGAUUAGCUAGUUGGUGAGGUAAUGGCUCACCAAGGCGCCGAUCUCUAGCUGGUUUGAGAGGAUGAUCAGCCACACUGGAACUGAGACACGGUCCAGACUCCUACGGGAGGCAGCAGUGGGGAAUAUUGGACAAUGGGCGCAAGCCUGAUCCAGCCAUGCCGCGUGUGUGAAGAAGGCCUUCGGGUUGUAAAGCACUUUCAGCGAGGAGGAAGGGGUUGUAGUUAAUAGCUGCAACCUUUGACGUUACUCGCAGAAGAAGCACCGGCUAACUCUGUGCCAGCCGCCGCCGUAAAAC